UGCAUGGUUGUCGUCAGCUCGUGCCGUGAGGUGUCGGCUUAAGUGCCAUAACGAGCGCAACCCUUUUCCAUAGUUACCAUCAUUCGGUUGGGGACUCUGUGGACACUGCCAUCGUAAGAUGUGAGGAAGGGGGGGAUGACGUCAAAUCAGCACGGCCCUUACGUCCGGGGCGACACACGUGUUACAAUGGCGGCCACAGAGGGGCACUACCUGGCGACAGGAUGGGAAUCUCGAAAAGCCGUCUCAGUUCGGAUCGGAGUCUGCAACCCGACUCCGUGAAGUUGGAUUCGCUAGUAAUCGCGCAUCAGCCAUGGCGCGGUGAAUACGUUCCCGGGCCUUGUACACACCGCCCGUCAAGCCAUGGAAGCCUGGGGCGCCUGAAGUUCGUGACCGCGAGGAGCGACCUAGGGCGAAACAGGUAACUGGGGCU
rnacentral:rRNA from 1 species